rnacentral:lncRNA from 1 species
GCUGCUCGCGCCUCCCGCCCCGCCCGCGCGCGCNGGGGGGGGGGGGGGGGGGGGGGGGAGUCGAGGAGGGGCCGCGCCCGGUCCUCGCCCGCAGCGGGCACCGCCGGGGGCCCCGGGAGGCCUUGUUGGUAUUCCGGGCACAGCAGAAGCCCUGACCUCCCCGCGGAACAGGGGCGCCCGGGAGCGCGGCGCGGCCGCCGCCCCCGGGCGGUCUCCCCGGACUGCGGGGCCGUAGGCGCCUUGCUCCCCCUCCUCCCUGUCCCCUCCUCUCCAGGUCCCCCGUACCCCCUCCCCCGGCCUGAUCCGGCGGCGAAGGGGUGGGCAGGGAAACGCGCUCUCUGGGACAGGUGCCAACUCCGAGACAAAAGACAUAAAAUAGGCGGCAACGGGGGAAGCGCGGCCGGCGCGCUCGGGCGGGGACGGAGGCGCCGCGGGGGCCGCAUCCUCGGUGCCGACCGGGGAAAGUUUGGGAAGUCGCCGCGGCGGCUUCGCAGCGGCGGGGGACACGCGGGCCGGGCCGCCCUCCGCGCCGCGCUCGCCCUCUCCGCGCCGCUGCUGAAUAAUUCAUGGCGCGGCCGCCGGCCAUUAGCAUGCACCGGGCGCGCGGCGCGUCUGUGCCCAGCCGUCGCCGCCGCAUUCGGCGCCCCGGCCGCGCUAGACGAGCGGCCGCGCAGAGGCCGGGCCCGCGCCGUCCCCGCGCUCGCCCGCCCGUCCGCCCGUCCGCCCACCCGGCGGCUCCCAUUGUGCCCCAGGCCCGCGCCGCUCCGCCGUCCUGUGACCGCCUGCGCCCCGCAGCGCGCCCGACGGCCGGCCGCUGGAAGUUCGGGCCCGCGGCGCACGCCCUGCCGCCCCGGGAUGCACGUGAACUUGGAGAAAGUCUCGGGGCGCGCCGGCGCAGACCUCCGCGGCAGGGCGUGGGCGCCCCUGGCCCCGCGCGCUUUCGUUUUCGUCUGGGACAAAGGUCCCUCGCGGCGCAGGUCGCGGACGUGGAGGCAGUGCCCUGCGGGCCACUCAGCGGGGAGGUCCGGUCGUUCAGUCAAGGGAAGCCGGAGCCUGGAGAAGACGAGCCGCGCGGUCGGAGGCGCGGUGCGGGACCAGGACAGUGGGGCCUGGCCGUGCGCUUCGCCCUGGCGGUCCAGGAGCUGUCUCGCCCUCCGAAGAGUUACGGGAGGUGGCACUGCUUUUGCUCUCUGCCCUUUCGACACGUGAAGGAGAGAAUCAUUCGGAACCCAGGACUCAGACCGGUGGCCGAGGGCCUGUGCAGCCGCGAGCACGACAGCGCAGCGCUGGCCGCGUCCGCGCGCGUUCCUCCGACAAGGGCAGAGCAGUCGACCAGCGCGCCCCAGUCUCGAUCGGGUUCAAGGCGACUCUUGAGGACGGUGUGGGGCUUUGAAAGUACAAUCCUGCAUGGCCUUACUGUGAAUGGAUGGGCACUUUGUCUCGGUCCGGAUGCAGGAGUCCUGCCUUUAGAGGCAGCUCAGAAGCCCUGUGGAUGGAUCGUACGAGCGCCCCGGCCCAGCCCACUUGCAGCCAGUGGUAGGAGGCUUGCCGAGCAGAGAUGUGACCGGCCGAGACUGCGGUUAUUAUCGCCAAAUGAGACUGGUAGUUGUGGUUAG